rnacentral:misc_RNA from 1 species
UACGUAGGGUCCGAGCGUUAUCCGGAAUCAUUGGGCGUAAAGAGCUCGUAGGCGGUUCAGCAAGUCGGCUGUGAAAGUCCGAGGCUCAACCUCGGAACUGCAGUCGAAACUGCUGUGACUAGAGUCCGGUAGAGGAGAAUGGAAUUCCCGGUGUAGCGGUGAAAUGCGCAGAUAUCGGGAGGAACACCAGUAGCGAAGGCGGUUCUCUGGGCCGGUACUGACGCUGAGGAGCAAAGCGUGGGGAGCAAACAGG